AUCCUCCAAGGCUAAAUACUCCUGAUUGACCGAUAGUGAACCAGUACCGUGAGGGAAAGGCGAAAAGAACCCCGGCGAGGGGAGUGAAAAAGAACCUGAAACCGUGUACGUACAAGCAGUAGGAGCCUCUUUAUGGGGUGACUGCGUACCUUUUGUAUAAUGGGUCAGCGACUUAUAUUCUGUAGCAAGGUUAACCGUAUAGGGGAGCCGUAGGGAAACCGAGUCUUAACUGGGCGAAUGAGUUGCAGGGUAUAGACCCGAAACCCGGUGAUCUAUCCAUGGGCAGGUUGAAGGUUGGGUAACACUAACUGGAGGACCGAACCGACUAAUGUUGAAAAAUUAGCGGAUGACUUGUGGAUGGGGGUGAAAGGCCAAUCAAACCGGGAGAUAGCUGGUUCUCCCCGAAAGCUAUUUAGGUAGCGCCUCGUGAACUCAUCUUCGGGGGUAGAGCACUGUUUCGACUAGGGGGUCAUCCCGACUUACCAACUCGAUGCAAACUGCGAAUACCGAAGAAUGUUAUCACGGGAGACACACGGCGGGUGCUAACGUCCGUCGUGAAGAGGGAAACAACCCAGACCGCCAGCUAAGGUCCCAAAGUCAUGGUUAAGUGGGAAACGAAGUGGGAAGGCUCAGACAGCCAGGAUGUUGGCUUAGAAGCAGCCAUCAUUUAAAGAAAGCGUAAUAGCUCACUGGUCGAGUCGGCCCGCGCGGAAGAUGUAACGGGGCUAAACCAUGCACCGAAGCUGCGGCAGCGA
rnacentral:rRNA from 1 species